rnacentral:lncRNA from 1 species
UAUUGAUGUAUAUUGAUGUAUAUUGAUGUAUAUUGAUGUAUAUUGAUGUAUGUGAUGUAUAUUGAUGUAUAUUGAUGUAUAUUGAUGUAUAUUGAUGUAUAUUGAUGUAUAUUGAUAUAUAUUGAUGUAUAUUGAUGUAUAUUGAUGUAUAUUGAUGUAUAUUGAUGUAUAUUGAUGUAUAUUGAUGUAUGUGAUGUAUAUUGAUGUAUAUUGAUGUAUAUUGAUGUAUAUUGAUGUAUAUUGAUAUAUAUUGAUGUAUAUUGAUGUAUAUUGAUGUAUAUUGAUGUAUAUUGAUGUAUAUUGAUGUAUGUGAUGUAUAUUGAUGUAUAUUGAUGUAUAUUGAUGUAUAUUGAUGUAUAUUGAUGUAUAUUGAUAUAUAUUGAUGUAUAUUGAUGUAUGUGAUGUAUAUUGAUGUAUAUUGAUGUAUGUGAUAGUGAAAUACAGGAGGAAGAGGAGGAAGAGGAGAAUCAGCAGCAGGAGAAUCCCAUCUACGGAAACAUCACUACAGACCUGUGCUAUGAACCCAUGACCAAGCAACGUUCCAGAGACGACAGAAAGGUACGUACAUCGGGCCAAAAUUAUUCUUGUUCAUUAUUGUUCACAUACAACUGUCAUUACAUGAAUAUUUGCAUUUUAGAAUUGUUUGGUUUUAAACUGUACUGUGUAAAUUAAAACAAAACAAAUAUAUAGAGGACAUAGAUUGAUUUACUUUAAUUAACUGCCAAUGCCACGUAAAACAAAAUGUGAAUGACGAACUAUCAUCUCAUCUCAUAAUGGUCAUAAUUGAAAACGACGGUCUGCUGUAUUUAUAUUUAUAUUUUUUUUUUUUCCACCCUGAGAGGAAAUGAACUACGCCUAUACUCAUGUAUUCAUGCUAAUAACAAAAUGUCGAAAUAGGCGUAUAUAUAUUGCAGUUAUUUCGCUUAGACCACAAGUCGCUUAGACCACAUGUCGCUUAGACCACACAGCUUAUAGUAAGCUACAUUACAAAUAGCACCAUAUUCCUUUUAUAGUUCACCACUUCUGACCAAAAGUAGUGCACUAUAUAGGGAAUAGGGUGCUAUAAGGCUCUGGUCUAAAGUAGUGCACUAUAUAGGGAAUAGGGUGCUAUAAGGCUCUGGUCUAAAGUAGUGCACUAUAUAGGGAAUAGGGUGCCAUAAGGCUCUGGUCUAAAGUAGUGCACUAUAUAUAGGGAAUAGGGUUCCAUAGGGCUCUGGUCAAAGUAGUGCACUAUAUAGGGAAUAGGGUGCCAUAGGGCUCUGGUCUAAAGUAGUGCACUAUGUAGGGAAUAGGGUUCCAUAGGGCUCUGGUCAAAGUAGUGCACUAUAUAGGGAAUAGGGUUCCAUAGGGCUCUGGUCUAAAGUAGUGCACUAUAUAGGGAAUAGCACACCAUGUUAACUCAGUCUGUUUCUAAAGUAGUUCACAGUCAUCUGCUGUGGUCAAGGCUAUCUCUAGUUCUCUACACCACACCGCCGUGUACAACGCAGCCAAUAUCUGCUUUAUAGGCUAUAUAUAGUACCAUUUUUCUGAAUGCAUGAGAAGUUACCAAGGACAGGAUGCUCUCCGACUUUCAAGUUUCAAACUUUAUUUGCCACCCGCACAGGAUACAGCAGGUGUAAAACAGCAGAGUGAAAGUCUUACCUUGAGACCUCUUGUAAUAUGAUAUACUAAUAG